rnacentral:rRNA from 1 species
AGCGAACGUUAGCGGCGGGCUUAACACAUGCAAGUCGAGCGAGAAAGUGGCUUCGGCCAUCAGUAAAGCGGCGGACGGGUGAGUAACACGUAGGUAAUCUUCCUUCGAGCGGGGGACAACGUUCCGAAAGGGACGCUAAUACCGCAUACGUUUCUCGGGACCUCGGUCCUGGGAAGGAAAGCUAGGUCGCAAGAUCCGGCACUCGAUGAGGAGCCUGCGUCGCAUCAGCUAGUUGGUGGGGAAUGGCCUACCAAGGCGAAGACGCGUAGCUGGUCUGAGAGGAUGAUCAGCCACACUGAAACUGAGACACGGUUCAGACUCCUACGGGAGGCAGCAGUGGGGAAUAUUGGACAAUGGGCGCAAGCCUGAUCCAGCCACGCCGCGUGAGUGAUGAAGGCC